rnacentral:rRNA from 1 species
GAUGAACGCUGGCGGCGUGCCUAAUACAUGCAAGUCGAGCGAACGGACGAGAAGCUUGCUUCUCUGAUGUUAGCGGCGGACGGGUGAGUAACACGUGGAUAACCUACCUAUAAGACUGGGAUAACUUCGGGAAACCGGAGCUAAUACCGGAUAAUAUUUUGAACCGCAUGGUUCAAAAGUGAAAGACGGUCUUGCUGUCACUUAUAGAUGGAUCCGCGCUGCAUUAGCUAGUUGGUAAGGUAACGGCUUACCAAGGCAACGAUGCAUAGCCGACCUGAGAGGGUGAUCGGCCACACUGGAACUGAGACACGGUCCAGACUCCUACGGGAGGCAGCAGUAGGGAAUCUUCCGCAAUGGGCGAAAGCCUGACGGAGCAACGCCGCGUGAGUGAUGAAGGUCUUCGGAUCGUAAAACUCUGUUAUUAGGGAAGAACAUAUGUGUAAGUAACUGUGCACAUCUUGACGGUACCUAAUCAGAAAGCCACGGCUAACUACGUGCCAGCAGCCGCGGUAAUACGUAGGUGACAAGCGUUAUCCGGAAUUAUUGGGCGUAAAGCGCGCGUAGGCGGUUUUUUAAGUCUGAUGUGAAAGCCCACGGCUCAACCGUGGAGGGUCAUUGGAAACUGGAAAACUUGAGUGCAGAAGAGGAAAGUGGAAUUCCAUGUGUAGCGGUGAAAUGCGCAGAGAUAUGGAGGAACACCAGUGGCGAAGGCGACUUUCUGGUCUGUAACUGACGCUGAUGUGCGAAAGCGUGGGGAUCAAACAGG